rnacentral:tRNA from 1 species
GCCCGGGUGGUGGAAUUGGCAGACACGCUAGCUUCAGGUGCUAGUAAUCGCAAGAUUGUGCAGGUUCAAGUCCUGUUCCGGGUA